GACGAACGCUGGCGGCGUGCUUAACACAUGCAAGUCGAACGGAAAGGCCCCUUUGGGGGUACUCGAGCGGCGAACGGGUGAGUAACACGUGAGUAACCUGCCCUUGACUUCGGGAUAACUUCAGGAAACUGGGGCUAAUACCGGAUAGGAAUCCUUGCUGCAUGGUGGGGGUUGGAAAGCUUCGGCGGUUUUGGAUGGACUCGCGGCUUAUCAGCUUGUUGGUGGGGUAGUGGCUUACCAAGGCUUUGACGGGUAGCCGGCCUGAGAGGGCGACCGGCCACAUUGGGACUGAGAUACGGCCCAGACUCCUACGGGAGGCAGCAGUGGGGAAUAUUGCACAAUGGGCGGAAGCCUGAUGCAGCAACGCCGCGUGCGGGAGGACGGCCUUCGGGUUGUAAACCGCUUUCAGCAGGGGCGAAGCUUGUGGUGACGGUACCUGCAGAAGAAGCACCGGCUAACUACGUG
rnacentral:rRNA from 1 species